AACGCACAUUGCGCCCGCCAGUAUUCUGGCGGGCAUGCCUGUCCGAGCGUCACUACACCACUCAGCGCCCCUUCGGGGGUGCUGGCGUUGGGGAUCGGCCGCCCACGGCGGCGCCCGUCCCCCAAAUCCAGUGGCGGCCCGGCGUGAGCUCCCCUGCGCAGUAGCAAUGCCACGCAGAGGGUGCAGCGUCGGUGUCCCGCCGUAAAACACCCAACUUCUCACGGUUGACCUCGGAUCAGGUAGGACUACCCGCUGAACUUAA
rnacentral:misc_RNA from 1 species